GGAGAGGUGGCAGAGUGGUCGAAUGUACCUGACUCGAAAUCAGGCGAACCGCAAGGUUCCGAGGGUUACCCCGCCCCCCCCCCCCCCUCCG
rnacentral:tRNA from 1 species